rnacentral:rRNA from 1 species
CGUAGGGUGCGAGCGUUAAUCGGAAUUACUGGGCGUAAAGCGUGCGCAGGCGGUUUUGUAAGACAGGCGUGAAAUCCCCGGGCUCAACCUGGGAACUGCGCUUGUGACUGCAAGGCUAGAGUACGGCAGAGGGGGGUGGAAUUCCACGUGUAGCAGUGAAAUGCGUAGAGAUGUGGAGGAACACCAAUGGCGAAGGCAGCCCCCCUGGGUCGAUACUGACGCUCAUGCACGAAAGCGUGGGUAGCAAACAGGAUUAGAUACCCUGGUAGUCCACGCCCUGAACGAUGUCAACUAGGUGUUGGGUGGGUAAAACCAUUUAGUACCGGAGCUAACGCGUGAAGUUGACCGCCUGGGGAGUACGGCCGCAAGGUUA